GUCGUACAGCCAUGUUUUUGUUGUUGUAGUUGUUUUGGGGUUCUUCUUUAGCGCAGACCCGCUGCAGUUUUAUUGUCGUGCGCACUUUCAUGGACGGACCAGGCUGUGCCGUCAGGCCGAGGCCACGAGUGUGUAGCAAAGCGAGGGUGCGUCAACGCCAUCUAAAGUUUGUUGCAAUACAUCAUUUUCUUCCUUGAUUCGGGGUAAGCUGAGAUCGUGCUCUUAUGACAUCUGGUUUGGAGUAGUUUGGGAGACUGCUAAUCAAGAUACUAACAGGUCUACUGGCAAGAUGUGAAGCAGGUGGCACAUGACCAAGCUGUAAGAGAUUCCACCCCGCUGAUGAAUGCUCCGCCACAUACAUCAGAGUCCCCCCGGUUCUCUGGCUCCUCCCUGAGCAAUGGAGAGGAGCAGUCAAGGAUCCUGUGGACCAAUCGGUUGGCGGUGAUGUUUCAGUGGGAGCACUGCCUGUUAACCAGUACGUGUGUGUAAGAGAGAAAUAGAGAGAGAGAGAGAGAGAGAGAGAGGGAGAGAGAGCCUUCCACUGCUGUAUCUCCAUCCUGCAUCCUCCAUAAACACUGCGACCGAAGAGCUGCGGAAUAGGCGUGUUGCUCCUGUUACUCCAGCCAACAUCACGUCCAGGGACCGCGUGAAAACUGCACGGAGCCAAGAAUUUAUAAUUGGCAGUUUCUACCUGAAGUGAUGGAGCAGCAUUUCCUGAUGAAGCUGUGAGGAGCUUGUAAGUGUCCCCAGUGGAACCUCUUAAGGAUUAACCCACGUCUGCGAAGUGGGGAUCAGAGGCUUCCAUUUACAUUCCGUAUUCGCAGCCCAUCACCUCACAGCAUCCUUGCUCGCACGUUUAAAACAGCACCGAAUUACUAUCCACGCUUUGUUUUUCAAGUCAACACUCGUGGAUGAACAGCAGCGUGACUUGUACCUUGAACGUGUGGAGCGGGAGCACGGUCUCUUCCAAAGGUCACAGUUUGCCUUAAAAUAGUGCCAAAGUGACAAUGUUGGCCUUAUCGCCUGGUGAAUGUCCCCAGAUUGUGAUGGACAAAGACAGGAGAGGAAAUCAGAUGGAGUGUGAGUGUGACACGGUGGUAAAGAGGAAGUGACAGGUAAGGAUUGCCUCAUUCGACUGUUCUAAGGUUGUACUACUUUUGUUAGUGCUCUCCUCCUCUCUCCUCCUCCACUCCAACCUUUGUUUUUAUUUUUCACAGUGAUGUCAGUUCUCAGUUCUCGUGGGCUUUGGUUGAAUCUAUCUAUCUACAUCAUUUAUUUGGUUUAAACCAUGUACAGUAACUGACCCACAACCUUCUGCAGUCACCUUUUUGAACACCUGUAAUCAAUUGUCCUUGAUUGACCUUGAUGACUCAGCUUUAGUCUAUUGGCUCGUCAGUAGGUUGAGUAAAUUGUCUUGUAGCCUUUAGUCGUCACAGAUGUGACACAAUCCAAAGUGCUCUGGAGUUUUGACUAAAAGUAUUUUUUUUUAUUGUGGACAGCAAAGUUUUAGCAAAUGGCACUUCAUUUCAUUUGCUCUAGUCUGUAUAAAAUCCACCACUUUUUAAACAAUUAGAUCAAAAUCACUGCUUAUCAAAGUGCGGGGUGAGAAUGGAGAUAUGACAGGUGGAGCAUCAUUAUAAUGAAGCAGCAUCAUGUGUUUGUUCAGGCCUUGACCCCUAAGUCUUGACACUCCAACAGAUGUGUCUUUUCUUUAGCAAGGGGACAACUGCCCACAGCAGCGUCUUUCUUUCUGACUGACCUUUUCAAGAAGCGUAGAACCAGGUUCUUGCCCCUCUCAUCAGCUCUGUCCUUGAAUAAGUAAGCUCCUACAUCUGAGGGUUUAGACAGCAGGCUGGUGUGGUACGGACUUUACCGCACACUAGUGACAGGAGGACGUACGUGACUUCCUUUACAAACACCUGGUCAUGCUGGUGGUUUUUUUUUUACAAUGUCUUACUUAAAACGGACAGUAGGAGCGUAUGAGGGUGUAUACGAAUAGUAUUUUAAAAAAUGUUAAGCAUGGUUGCCAGGUCUGUGAUGCAGAAAGCAUCCAAUUAGCAACUCAAAUAUGCACAUAAAUAUACAUACAGUAUACUGUAUGUUGGUUUUAAAGUUUACUUUUAAGAAGACCGAGCUUCAUUGGGUGAAAAAAAUAUCAACAGAUCCAUGUGCAGAAAACCUCUGCUAUCAAAGCUAUUGUUUAACACAGUCGCUACGUUGAUGUGUAAUGGCUGUUGCUGUCAGGCCAGAAACUGUAAUUUACCCCUGACAACAAUGUGCCGUCCUGACAACAGCAGUUGACAGUGAGUCCAGAUAUAAAAUAAUUGUUGAGGCGGAGAUGACAAAAGGAGAAAUUUCUGUCACCCAAGCCAUUCACAAUACAUCGUUUUUGCGUCAUCUUACCAGUGAGAUAUACAAAGAGGGUUGGUUGCCAUGGUUGCAUGCAGAUUAGUGGUAUAUAACAAGAUAUUCCAGAUAAAUCUAGACAGGAUUAUUUCAAUCACUUGUCAGGUACAGUGGGUACAAUGGUAAAUUGAUGCCAAUGACAAUAGCAGUGCCAGUUCCAGCCUAUAGUAUUUGCCAGGGCCAUCAGCUUUUUGUUCAAAUGCUGAACGCAUUUUGGAAUUGUUGAUGGUUUGAGUCCUGUCUGCCUUGCUGUGGUGUUAAGCAUCCUCUGUUUUAGACAGAAGUAAAAAGGCAACCAUGUACAUCACACUACUAGGUUUUAAUGUCUUGAAAAUAACACUUGCUUUUUUUUCUGGGUUUGUCUUUAUUGUUGUCUGUGGUAGUACGUCAAAAAUAAUUGGGGCUCGGAGACAGCCUGAGCUGACGUUGGUCUGUAGGUGAAGUACAUCCCAGUGCCACAUGUGGAGGCAGACAGACAUUAACACUCACAUUUACAUCUUCGCAUGUGGUCAGGUUCCAGUCCCCAAUUAACCUCAUCCCAUUCUGCGUACGGUAAAGCUGUGGGGGGAAACAGGAGUUCCCACAGAGAGCUAAGACUGACCUCAUCGCUGUAUGACAAAGGUUCUUACCACUAUCCCACUGUGCAGCAGAGUAAUGUAUUCACUUUUUUUUUUGGCAAACUAUUUUCAGACUGAGGUUACGCUUUUAUGUCAUUUAAUUUCUUCUUCUUUUUUUUUUUAAAUUUCCAUCAAGUAGAAUUUCAAAAUAAAUAACCUAGAAUCUCGGGGGUACAGUUCUAGGGCGUCAAAGUGUGUCAUGUGAGGUGUAAUUUUCCAAAAAAUGAAGACACCCCUCCCUUUUUUCCUCCCUUCAGUAAGUGAAGGCUCGGUCUGAGGCUGUGAAUAUAGGACUUUACGCCCUUACAAUUGUGUACAUACAGAGUUGUGUGUACACAGGACCCAUCUGUGCUCCUCUAAGUCUGUCUGCUUUCAUCAUGUGCUUUCUUGGAGAGUCAAACUUCAAAGUGCAGCUUUUCUGGGACUGAAACACAACGUUGCUCAUCAUGGAGCGUAUCAGAACGUGUGCAGUUGAGGUUGCAUCCGUGGGAAGAAGCACAGAGCACGUAGGCUGGAGGCAACCGGGUUGUCAGUUUUUUUUUUUACGAUUUUCUCUCAUGCGGCUCGUCAGCAGCCGUAGAUAAGAGAAUUAAUGUGGGAAUGAUUUUCUCCGUAGCAGUAGCAUACAGUUGGAAUGAAUGAAUUUGAUUUAGUUGCUUUUUUAGUUUGUCUGCAGUAUUAGCAAAUUGUUAAUCAGUUAUUCAGAAAGUAAUCUAAUAUGGAUUAUGAAUUAACUAUAAUUUAUUAAAAUAUAUGUAUAUUUAUAUAAAUCUGGGAUUUAUUUUCUGUAUUAUAAGGUGAUUUAAAGUUAAAAAAUUAUACUAAUACUACAGUAAAAUAAAGACCACCAGGCAAAGCUUGCAUGUUCACCUUGUUUGGUGGGUUUUAUUCCUGCCAAACAUGCAGCCACAGGUGUGACCAUUUGUCUAAUUAACCUGAUAUCCACAUGACUGAUGUGAUUGACUUCAGCUCCCUUGCCCUAAACAGAAUGAUGUUCUAGAAGAAGGAUGGAAAGAUAAAAUUAAUUAUUCAAAAAAAAAAAAAAGGGCUAUUGCAUUCUGUCUGAUUACAUACAGCUCUUUGUAUUUGUGCUUCAUUGUUUUUCUGUCUAAGUUAAUCAAUGUCACGGCACCUCAUAAGUCACUCUGUCUCUCUCCCUCUGUCUUUCUCUCCGUCACUCUACCUACUGUUGAUUUAUUGACAUAUUUUAUCAAUGUUCAAAGCCGGACUGGUCUGAAAACUAAUUUCCAUGCAAGAACAAAUGCAGGAACAAACAUUCAUUGCUAUCUAUCUAUCCAUCUAUCUAUCUAUAGGAGUGAAAGAGGGGAAAAAAGGAAGGACAUGGGAGGAGUUGUCAGAUAGCUGCCACAGCCUUCAUAUAAUGUAAUUGAAGCCAUCCAUCACAUCAAGAUAAUUAGACAGCAGCAUGGACCACCUGACCAGAACUCACACACACUCCCAUAUGCACUCUCCUGCACACACCUCUCCAUCCAUAUAUUAUUAUUAGAAACACAAGACUGACAAAUACCAAUAUAUCCAAGAUCAUUUUUUACAUGAAGUUUUAAGUUUUUUUCUUAACAGAAAACUACGGUGGCACAGAAAGGCGUCAGUCAGUGAAAGGCCAUUUCAAGUCCAUUAGGCCAAUCUGGUCUCUGUCACUGUUGGUUUUAGCUGCUGAUGGCCAAUUAAAUGUGUAGAAUUUGUUCUGGCAUUCACUGAGCUCUGGCCAAAGCCAGGCAAUCACCAGAACAAUGAGAGCCAAUGCAUGAACAAUCCCAUCAGUGCAAGGUCCUAAAAACUAGUUACAAAGUUGGUUCAACUUAUGAUUAUCUCCAUUAUUUGGCCUGGUUGUGAAUGUUACUGUUGAACUGAAGUUGUGUUUUUUUCAUGGUGCAAAACCACUGCUACUAUUUUUUAUCUUCCAUCAAAUUUAAUUUACUACAGUAUAAGUUCCCAUUCUGACUAAUAUGCAUGAUAACGAUUAUAUUUUCAGUUUUCUGUCAACAGUAUAGUUGGAAACAGUAAAUAUAGACCAGCGCCACCUAGAGGGCUGCCAAAAACAUUCACUCUAGCACCUGUGGGGCCACGAUGGCUGCAGCACUGGAGGGAUACCAUUAGAAUUAUAAUUAAUAAAUUACAUUGUCUCUGUUUAAAGAGGGUACGUUCAAUAUUUUUAGUGUGAACAUAUUUCCCCUGCGUGAACACUAUGAAAACGCCAGACUCUGUCGAUUACAUGCGCAUCACGGGAUGAUAUGCGCUGCAAGUACAGAUUAGCAGUAAUCCCUCCAAGAUGUGUUUUAUUGCACUGCUUCAUAAUGAACCAACAAUGGCGCUCUUACACUCCGACUGAUCCUGUUUUAAUGGCGCCUUUGUGUUUACAUUGAUUCCGCGGGGGCGAGUUAAGAGGAUCCGUGGGCUCUUAUAGGAUAUCAAAACAAUAUAGACUGAUGAAUGAGUGUGUGUGUCGUAAUGAGUGCAUCCAUGUAAUUACACACUGUAAGUGAUCUGAGUAACACAACGAGCACUGGAAAGGACAACAGUGUUGCACCACGUCAAAUGUUUGUACAACAUGGCAAAAACAACUAUUUUUUUUAAUGUAUCAUCAACAAAAAUACAGUAAAAAAUAAGAAGUUAUUCCCAAUUCUCCCGAAUUUGGCGAGUAUUUAGCUG